CGUCCCCAGGUCCUUCUCCAGAGGCUCCAUCUGGGGCGUGGCCUUUGGCCUUCCUGAAGCUCCGGGAGAACCAUGCUGUCAGCAGCCUCUGCACACGAGGCACAGGGAGUUAGGAUGGAUCACACCGCUCCCCAUCGGGCCGAAUGUGUAUUUCAAUUUUCCUCCUCCUAGGUGAAGGCAGUCCACGAGCCACUCCAAUGAUCCACGUGGACGUGCCCGAUGCACGGGACUCACCAGGGUCCGCAUCCACACUCAACUUCUGCGAUCCUGUCCGGGAACAAGAGGUGUCCCUUGAUGAGCUGGACCAGCCAGUCGCUCUGCCAGGACCCUCACCCAAAGGUGAAGAGAGUGCGCGUGUCAACGAGAUGACCCACGUGAUCGUGACCGAUUCAAGGGACGCAGUGGAGACCGUAUGCGCCCCCAGUCUCCUCGAUUGCAGCCAGGAUCCGAAGGGGUCCCUCGAUGAGCCGGACCUUUCGAUUACUCCGCCAGGACCUCCACCCGCAGGUGAAGGCAGUCCACGAGCCACUCCAAUGAUCCACGUGGACGUGCCCGAUGCACGGGACUCACCAGGGUCCGCAUCCACACUCAACUUCUGCGAUCCUGUCCGGGAAGAGGUGUCCCUUGAUGAGCUGGACCAGCCAGUCGCUCUGCCAGGACCCUCACCCAAAGGUACGCCGUAGAGCAUUCCUUCAAAUGACCCGUCUCAGAUCAUACCUCCGUUCCCGUGAAGAAAAUCAUGACGCAGCUGUUCUGCAUGCAGCGGGCACCUGGGGUGUGGGCCGAAUCCCAACACACGCACCCAGAAUCAGAGUAGCACUCAACACUCACAUCUCAAGAAGGUCCACAUCCCUUCUAGGAGAAUGUUUUUUUCCCUUUGCCGUAGGGAAAUGCAUGCUGUCUUCUCCGUAUGCUCAGAGCCUUUCAAUCCAUAGUUUGUGUGCUCCUACCUAUCUGCAAGUCUCCUUAGGGUAAAGUUUCCAAAGAUCAGGC
rnacentral:lncRNA from 1 species